AGCUUUAGGAAAUAAUCUAAGGUCAGACCUGCCCAAUGUAAGCUUAUGAAUGGCCGCGGUACUUUGACCGUGCUAAGGUAGCGCAAUAGAUUGACCUUUAAUUAGGGUCAGGUAUGAAUGGAGUCACGGGGUUCAGCUGUCUUAAAUACUAUUAGUUUGAACAUUACUAUUUAGGUGAAAAAGCCUAUAAACAGAAAAGGGACGAGAAGACCCUUAGAGUUUUUCUUAAAUUAGAAUAUUAUUUCUAUUACAGUUUAGUUGGGGCAACUGGGGAACACUUUAAUUUCUCUGGUAAUAUCAGCCGGUUUUCACAAGAACAAAUAAACUACCUUAGGGAUAACAGCAUAAUUUCAUUAAUAAGUUUGUGACCUCGAUGUUGGACUAGGAAAUUUAAGGGCUAGCCGCCCUUAAAAUAGGUUCUGUUCGAACUAAUUACUCCU
rnacentral:rRNA from 1 species